AACAAGGAUUCCCCUAGUAACUGCGAGUGAAGAGGGAAAAGCUCAAAUUUAAAAUCUGGCAGUCUUUGAUUGUCCGAGUUGUAAUUUAGAGAAGUGUUACCCGUGUUGGGCCGUGUAUAAGUCUCCUGGAAUGGAGCGUCAUAGAGGGUGAGAAUCCCGUCUUUGACACGGACUUCCAAUACAUUGUGGUACGCUCUCGAAGAGUCGAGUUGUUUGGGAAUGCAGCUCUAAAUGGGUGGUAAAUUCCAUCUAAAGCUAAAUAUUGGGGAGAGACCGAUAGCGAACAAGUACCGUGAGGGAAAGAUGAAAAGAACUUUGGAAAGAGAGUUAAAUAGUACGUGAAAUUGCUGAAAGGGAAACGCUUGAAGUCAGUCGCGUUAGUUUUGGGAUCAGCCUUCCUUUUGGUUGGUGUAUUUCCUUACUGACGGGUCAGCAUCAGUUUUGAUCAGUGGAUAAGGACUUGAGGAAUGUGGCAUCUUCGGGUGUGUUAUAGCCUCUUGUUGUAUACAUUGAUUGGGACUGAGGAACUCAGCACGCCGCAAGGCCGGGUUUUUAACCACGUACGUGCUUAGGAUGCUGGCAUAAUGGCUUUAAUCGACCCGUCUUGAAACACGGACCAAGGAGUCUAACAUGCCUGCGAGUGUUUGGGUGGAAAACUCGGACGCGUAAUGAAAGUGAAAGUUAGGAUCUCUGUCGUGGAGAGCACUGACGCCCGGCCCAGAGCUUUUGUGACGGUGCUGCGGUUGAGCAUGUAUGUUGGGACCCGAAAGAUGGUGAACUAUGCCUGAAUAGGGUGAAGCCAGAGGAAACUCUGGUGGAGGCUCGUAGCGAUUCUGACGUGCAAAUCGAUCGUCGAAUUUGGGCAUAGGGGCGAAAGACUAAUCGAACCA
rnacentral:rRNA from 2 species